rnacentral:rRNA from 1 species
AGCGAGCGCUGGCGGCAGGCCUAACACAUGCAAGUCGAACGGCCGUAGCAAUACGGCAGUGGCAGACGGGUGAGUAACACGUGGGAAUGUGCCCUUCGGUUCGGAAUAACCCAGGGAAACUUGGGCUAAUACCGGAUACGCCCUUACGGGGAAAGAUUUAUCGCCGAAGGAUCAGCCCGCGUCCGAUUAGCUAGUUGGUGGGGUAAUGGCCCACCAAGGCUCCGAUCGGUAGCUGGUCUGAGAGGAUGAUCAGCCACACUGGGACUGAGACACGGCCCAGACUCCUACGGGAGGCAGCAGUGGGGAAUAUUGGACAAUGGGCGCAAGCCUGAUCCAGCCAUGCCGCGUGAGUGAUGAAGGCCCUAGGGUUGUAAAGCUCUUUCGGCGGGGAAGAUAAUGACGGUACCCGCAGGAGAAGCCCCGGCUAACUUCGUGCCAGCAGCCGCGGUAAUACGAAGGGGCUAGCGUUGCUCGGAAUCACUGGGCGUAAAGCGCACGUAGGAC